rnacentral:rRNA from 1 species
GACGAACGCUGGCGGCGUGCUUAACACAUGCAAGUCGAACGGAAAGGCCCCUUUGUGGGUACUCGAGUGGCGAACGGGUGGGUAACACGUGAGUAACCUGCCCUUCACUUCGGGAGAACUUCAGUAAACUGGGGCUAAUACCUGAUAGGAAUCAUUGCUGCAUGGUGGGGGUGGGAAGGAUUCGGGCGUGUUGGGUGGACUCGCGGCUUAUCAGCCUGUUGGUGGGGGAGGGGCUUACCAAGGGUUUGACGGGCAGCCGGCCGGAGAGGGCGGCCGGCCACAUUGGGACUGGGAUACGGCCCAGACUCCUACGGGAGGCAGCAGUGGGGAAUAUUGCACAAUGGGCGGAAGCCUGAUGCAGCAACGCCGCGGGCGGGAUGACGGCCUUCGGGUUGUAAACCGCUUUCAGCAGGGGCGAAGCUUGUGGUGACGGUACCUGCAGAAGAAGCACCGGCUAACUACGUG